rnacentral:rRNA from 1 species
CGACUCUCGGCAACGGAUAUCUCGGCUCUCGCAUCGACGAAGAACGUAGCGAAAUGCGAUACUUGGUGUGAAUUGCAGAAUCCCGUGAACCAUCGAGUCUUUGAACGCAAGUUGCGCCCGAAGCCGUCAGGCCGAGGGCACGCCUGCCUGGGUGUCACG